rnacentral:tRNA from 1 species
UCUAAUGUGGCAGAAAUUUAGUGCUAUGGAAUUAAGUACCAUUUAUAGAAUAAAAUCUCUUUAGAA